rnacentral:lncRNA from 1 species
CAAAGGGUGAAAAGUUUCUAAGCUGACUAUUAAAUAGAUGUAACUCACUGACGAGUGUGCCCAUGUGGGAUUUUAAUUACUCAGACAUCUGUUUGGUUCAAUAAAAAGGCUAAUAAUUCACAGAAAUAUCCUGGGAUCAAAGAGAAGACCCUGUGGCCUCAUUGGACAUUAGUAGGUGCCUUGGAAGAAGCAGAGGCAGGAGACACAAAGGACUUCAAGUGAUUGGAACAAGAACUGUAGAAGACAUACCUAAGCACAGGAGAGGGGAAAGAGAGCGUUCAAUUGCUUUUGAAAUGAGUAUUUAAAAACCAGCCUCACUCAGGGUGGCCCCUUGCAGUCCUCUGCUGAGUCAACUCUCUGCUUGGCAGCCUCUUGUCCAUAGCUGACUCAGGGCAGAAAGGUGAUUGAUUGCCUUAAGAGCCUUCCCCUGACCUCUCCACUCGGCUCUCCUUCCUCCACCCCACCAUUCUUCCAGAGCCCAGCUCAGAUCCACAGGUUUCUCCAAAAUGCCUUUCUUCCAUUUGCAGAUAACAAAAACCAGUUGGAAAGAAUAUAGGUAAAAGAGUAAAUUUACUGGAGGGAAGCGUCUUACAAGGAAGAGUUGAACAACUUAACCUCCCUCAGGGAGAAGUAGCCCAGGGCAGUUCCCAGGACCUCAGAGGCUGAAAAUCACAAGUGCCUCCAAAGGGUUCGCUGCCAUUAAUGAUUUAGCUACCAACUCCCAACCACUGUCUCUCUGCGCAAAUCUAAAAUUCCUGGGAGAAUCUGAUUGGCACAUAUACACAUGCACUCACACACACACACACACACACACACACACACACGCACAGUAUGUAUUCAAGCUCAAGCUGUUAAAUAAACUCAGAAAAUCAUCCUACAAUGU